UACGUAGGGGGCAAGCGUUGUCCGGAAUUAUUGGGCGUAAAGCGCGCGCAGGCGGUCAUUUAAGUCUGGUGUUUAAGCCCGGGGCUCAACCCCGGUACGCACUGGAAACUGGGUGACUGGAGUGCAGGAGAGGGGAGUGGAAUUCCACGUGUAGCGGUGAAAUGCGUAGAGAUGUGGAGGAACACCAGUGGCGAAGGCGACUCUCUGGCCUGUAACUGACGCUGAGGCGCGAAAGCGUGGGGAGCA
rnacentral:rRNA from 1 species